AUUGAACGCUGGCGGCAGGCCUAACACAUGCAAGUCGGGCGAGCGUGGGAGGGGUGAGUAAUGUAUGGGGACUGCCCGAUAGAGGGGGUUAACUACUGGAACCGGUAGCUAAUAUCGCAUACUAUCGGAUUACUCAUAUGGGGUUAGCUCGUGGGGGGGGUAAUGUCUCACCUAGGCGACGAGCCCGAGCUGGGCUGAGAGGUUGAUCAGCCACACUGGAACUGAGACACGGCCCAGACUCCUACGGAGGCAGCAGUGGGGAAUAUUGCACAAUGGGCGCAAGCCUGAUGCAGCCAUGCCGCGUGUAUGAAGAAGGCCUUAGGGUUGUAAAGUACGUUCAGUAGGGAGGCGUUACCGACAGAAGAAGCACCGGCUAACUCCGUGCCAGCAGCCGCGGUAAUUC
rnacentral:rRNA from 1 species